rnacentral:misc_RNA from 1 species
GAAAUGCGAUAAGUAAUGUGAAUUGCAGAAUUCAGUGAAUCAUCGAAUCUUUGAACGCACAUUGCGCCCGCCAGUAUUCUGGCGGGCAUGCCUGUUCGAGCGUCAUUUCAACCAUCAAGCCCCCGGCUUGUGUUGGGGACCUGCGGCUGCCCGCAGGCCCUGAAAAACAGUGGCGGGCUCGCUGUCACACCGAGCGUAGUAGCAUACAUUCUCGCUCAGGGCGUGCUGCGGGUUCCGGCCGUUAAACGACCUUCAUAACCCAAGGUUGACCUCCGAUCAGGUAGGAAGACCCGCUGAACUUAAGC